CCCCUGGGAGUUAGGUUAAUGUGGAAUUGCAGAUUCUGAGGAGGGGCAGUAAAGACCCCACGGGGGU
rnacentral:tRNA from 1 species